CAGCCGCCGCGGGAAUACAGAGGGUGCGAGCGUUAAUCGGAUUUACUGGGCGUAAAGCGUGCGUAGGCGGCUUCUUAAGUCGGAUGUGAAAUCCCUGAGCUUAACUUAGGAAUUGCAUUCGAUACUGGGAAGCUAGAGUAUGGGAGAGGAUGGUAGAAUUCCAGGUGUAGCGGUGAAAUGCGUAGAGAUCUGGAGGAAUACCGAUGGCGAAGGCAGCCAUCUGGCCUAAUACUGACGCUGAGGUACGAAAGCAUGGGGAGCAAACAGGAUUAGAUACCCGAGUAGUCCCUGUCUCUUAUAC
rnacentral:rRNA from 1 species